ACUGCGCAUGUAGAGUGCUUGGAAAUCCUGUAGGGAGGACGCCUCACUGCGGGGUGACCUUGUUUUAUACAGAUCCACUUCGGGGGCCCCAAAUGACUUCAGGACUUUCUAGAGGGAACCGCAGCAGUUUCCCCUCAAAUCUUACUCCGUGGAGAAGUGGGGGCACUGUCGAUUUAAAUCCACACUUUGCUAAGAUUAUCUACCGAACACAUUUUUUAUGGAGGGCGUAUUGUGUGCCGGGCACACAACAACAUCUUCCCUGAGAAGCACAUCACGUGUUUAGGCAGUUCUCAGGUGCCAUGGAAAUUGGGCAAAGGAACAGCGGCUCUGAACGGUUUCUGCCCUUGAGUUGCUCCUGCGCUAGCUGGAGGGGAAAGGUGUAGGUGAUGCUUCACAACACCACAGGAAACGGCUCAGAGAGCUCUCUGAUGGCAGUGGAGCUGUGUUGGUACAUUCCUAUGGUGAAAUACAGUGCAGCAAUCAAAAGUGAAUGGGCGAUCUUGAAGGCAAUGUUGGAUGAAAAAGCGAAUCGCAAGAGAAUGUGAUAUUAAUGCAAUGUUAGUGUCUAUUAACAUAACACUAACAAACUACAAAAACACAGGAGGUGGUGUCUGCAUGCUACCAUGAAGUUCUCUCUCGGCCAGUUCAUCUACUACAGCUUGGAUGUGUUUUUGGGUGUUCCCUGAGUAUUCAUGUGUUGAGACUUAAUCUCCAUAUUAACAUGCUGAGAAGGAGGAAACGUAAUUUGACUAUGGUGGUUGGAGAUGCUUCCUUUCAAAGGUGAUUAGGAUUAGAUAUCCAGAUGGAAUCCCCAUUACUGAAUUGUUGUGACUUCGGAAAAAGAGAGACCAGAAAACAUGCCUCCUCCUCCCAUCUCUUGACUUGUAAUUUUCUCUGUCUUGACAGGACUCCUCCAACAAGAAAGUAUUACCAAAAUGCAGCUCCUUAACCUUACACCUUCAGGACUGUAAGCCAGAAUAAAUUUAUUUCUUCAUGAAGUAGCCUGACAAAGGUGUUUCUUGAGAGCAACAAAUCAAAAACUGAUGCAUCCUUUUUACUUUAGCAUUCAGUAGUUGCUCAUGGUUCAUAAGCUAUACGGUCUUCCAUACUCUAGCCCAUUCUACAUUUUAUUAUCAUUUCAGCCUCCUUCCCAAUACCUUAGUGUCUUUGUGACUUCAGCCAUGUUGUUCAUUGCUUGGAAUGCUGUUCCUUUCCUUUCUUCCUGGGGAAUCACAUUCAUCCCACACAAUAAAAUUUAAAUGCA